GAAAUUUAGAAAUUGUCUUCUAAAAUAAAAUUUAGUAUAUAACUCUAGUCGCUAGAGGGCAGGGUAUUAUGGAAUCCUUGGAAUAUAAAAUAAAAUUUAGUAUAUAACUCUAGUCGCUAGAGGGCAGGGCAUUUUAGAAUCAUUGGAAUUUUGUUAUUUCUGGAUUCCUUGGGUUUUCUUUAUUCAAAAAGUUUACUUCGUGUGGUGGUUUUUCUACUUCAACCAGUCUGCUUUUGAGCAAUACAACAAACCCGUAUUGACAGGUGUGGGACCCUAGUCAAGCGAGGUUUUGAUUCUCAUGUAAAUUAUUCACGCCCAAGUCAUGCUGAAAAUAAUGGACAGUGCCUAGACUGAUAUUUGGAAAAUGCUCAAAAGGAUAGUUGAAAUAGCAUAACGUUCAUUGAAGCCCAGCUACGUCGUACAUUCUCCUCCUGGAUAGGUUAUUCCUCUCCUGGUAAAUGUUCAGUGUUCUUGAUCUUCGGCUUGACCUUCAAGAAUAGAUGCCAUUCACCAUUCUCAUAUCAUACUGCAAGAGUGGCUCAAUUUUCAAAUAAUUUGAAGACCCCUGCUUGGAACACCGGCAACGAAUGAACUUCUUGUCUCUUAUACACCAUUUAAUGCCUAAGUUGAGUAUAGUAUGUAUGUAAUUGAUAAUUAUAUAUAAUUAAUUUUUA